rnacentral:rRNA from 1 species
GAUUUCUGGCCUGAAGCACUUUGCCAGCCACGGUUUCGUGUGUUAGUGCAUUGUGUUCUGGCCAUCCUUCCAAUCGCUAUUGACUAUUCUUCAUUGAUUGGUCAGUGGUAUUGGAUCUUUUACUUUGAAAAAAUUAGAGUGUUUCAAGCAGGCUUUAUGCUAUGAAUACAUUAGCAUGGAAUAAUAAUUUAGGACUUCGGUUCUAUUUUGUUGGUUUCUAGGACUGAAGUAAUGAUUGAUAGGGAUAGUUGGGGGUGCUAGUAUUCAGCGGCCAGAGGUGAAAUUCUCGGAUUCGCUGAAGACUAACUUAUGCGAAAGCAUU